rnacentral:lncRNA from 1 species
UAUAUACUCUAGUCUCUAUAGGACCACCCAAACUUCUCAAGCACCUGUGGACUCUGCCCCUAUCCAGCUUGGGACUAAUGAGUUUUCCUGGAUUGGUUCUCAUGAUAGCUUGGUAGUUAUGCCCAAUUUUACCUUCUGUUGAGAACAAAGUGAGUUAAUAGAAUGAGCUGUCCCCUAUACAACAAGUUAAUGGACAUUUUCGAGCCAUUAAGAGUAGGUCCCUAGUCACGCUUCUUUCCAUUCACUCAUCCAUUGCCCAACACUACAAAACUUCCCAACAAAAACUUCCCAGCUAGAAGCCAAGACAGUCUGUGACUUGAUGAACAGAGGGGUAAGCUGCUUCUUACUGUGAUAAAAUCUAAGACCUCAGGCUUCCACACCCACAUAUAAUAAAAAGAAUUCCCCAAACAUACAGCCUAGUGAGUGUCUGAAUUGUUUCAAAUGUUUGUUCACUGGUUGCCAUUUCUCAGACCCACUCAUGAAAUAUCACUUUGGCCAGAUCUGCAGGAGAACAAACCCAGUGUACCUAGAAGCCCAGAGUUUGAGUAACUUUGGUGUCAAGAUAGCAAUAGAUGCAGAGAAAAGGAGAGAAGACAGAAAAGUCCAUGAUCAGAGAUCUACCUGCUGAACCAACCUGAAACUGAACUUCACAGAAUCCAGUGUCUAAGUCCAAGUUAAGGGACAUGAUGAUGUCUAAAUAAAACCCCAAAUCCUAACUAAGGACACAAUUCCUACCACUGUACACCUCUUCUCCCGUGGAAAAGAGCUACCUUUCUAGAGGAAACAGUAUGGGGUCCUUCAAUCCCAAAGUGGCAGCCUUUUCCUCCUGAGUAGUAAAAGAAGCAUUCUGAGAAGGUGAUUGUGCCAUCCAAACCUUGGAAAGCAAAUGGGAAAAGGGAAAAAGAAAACUAGAUUUUCCCCCCAGAGCAAAGCUCACAGCAGAGCACAUUCCUCACCCUUUUCCUUUCAACUGGACAAAACCAGCUUGCUCCUGUGCACAAGCCUAAUUCCUGAACAUGAACUACAAUGAAACUAACCAGGGGGGAAAGAGACCAAAUGAGAAAAGGGGGAAUCCAUUAAGAAACGCUUGAAGGCUGGGGGCAGUGGCUCACGCCUGUUAAUCCCAGCACUUUGGGAGGCCGAGGCAGAAGGAUUGUUUGAGCCCAGGAGUUCGAGCCUGACCAACAUAGUGAGACCUCGUCUCUACAAAAAAAAAGUCAAAGAAUGAGACAGGAGGAUUGCUUGAGCCUGGGAGGUGGAGGCUGCAGUGAGCAGUGAUUGCACCAAUGCACUCCCACCUGGGUGACAGAGUGAGACCCUGCCUAAAGAAAAAGAAACACUUGGAGACAAGAUGGCAUCUUCCGGAUCCUUGCCUACAGCUAUGCAGGGCAGCCAGCAGCUGUGCAUUAUUUUGCACUCUCAGCCAUGAAGGAAUUCAGGCAAUCCUUCAGGAACCUACACAGUAAAUUCUUUUCUUGCAGAAUAAAUGCCUGCUUCUGACCUUGUUUAUUCUGCCUCAGAGCAUUGCAUAAUCUCCUGGUCCUAAUGUACCAAGAACAGAGUUCAGUGGCCUCUAGGCAUCACUUCCUAAGAAUCUGCAGCCACCUGGAUCAAGCCCACUUACGCAGUCCAUAGAGCCAACUCCCUGUUACUUGUCAAGUUUCCUCCCUGGGCAGAGGAGGGUUUCACUAGCCAAGUCAGCUGAAUCACGGAAUGUGUUGAAUCGUUCGAGAAAGCCAAGCCAAUCCAUACGCUACGCUCUGCACAGCGUACAGAGGAAACUGAACCUAAAACCCUUGCAGACCAGCAGAGCUGUGCCACGUGUAAGGAUAUGGUCAGGGCAGCGGCACGCAGGCCCAACCUGGGGCUCUGAGUCUCCUUGCUCUAAGCCUGCCAGGCUCUUCCCUGUCUUCUUGCUCAGCCAAUUAAUACCACGCCUCAUUCAGUCCUUCCUGACCCUCAGGGGUUACCGCUCUCCUCAGGACACCUCCACUCAAAAGGAGCUGAGGCGUGUCCCAUCUAUGUUUCUGAUGACUCCUUGGUCCCUUGUCUCCGUAUGAGUGAGCAGUCUCUGCAGCUCUUCCUGAUCACCCGAGAGAUGCAUAGCUUCAAGACCCUACCAGCUGUAGCAAAACCAAAACAACAUUCACUGUGGGGAGUGGGACAAGGGAUGAUAUGUCUUGUUAUUUUACUCCUUGAACUUGGAUCAUACUCCUUCCUGUGGGAGGCCCCUUUUCAUUUAAUCUACAAAUGUUAAGAAAUGUACAGAGAAACAUUGCAAUUCAUAGUAUUUAUCUGGAAUACCAGCUGACCUAUGUAUUCAGGCCAAAUGCUGAGUUUGAAAUGAGAAUCAGUGCAGGUCCCAGAGGAUUUGUUUUCCCUCUUUGCUGCCCCAAAGGUACAUUGUCAUGGCCUACAGAGCAAGAACAAGAAGGGAAGACUGUGUCCUAAGAGUCCAACUCAAACAGUGUAUCAUGCUUGAGAAAAAGAUAAUUUUUUAUAGAUCAAAGGCAUAUGGGCUGGGCACAGUGGCUCAUGCCUGUAAUCCCAGCAAUUUGGGAGGCUAAGGGAGGAGGAUGUUUUGAACCCAGGAGUUUGAGACCAGCCUAGGCAACACAGCAAGACCCCCGUCUCUACAAAAUGAAAUAAAUUAGUCCAUGUGGUAGCACAUGCCUGUAGUCCAGAUACUCAGGAAGCUGCAGUAGUGGGAGGAUCUGUUUGGCCCAGGAGGUUGAGGCUGCAGUGAGCCAUGAUCAUGCCACUGCAGUCCAACCUGAGUGACAGUGAGACCCUGCCUCAAAAAAAAGUCAUAUGGAGAAAUUUGCAGUCCAACCGAGAAUCACACCAAGUAAAUUGUAAUCUCUUAUAGUAAAUGCUCAGAAAAUACAGGUGAAUCAAUGUGUUGCAAUGAAAAUUCACCUAAACUUUCACGUAUGGCUAGCCCAGGAACUCACCCAUCACAGACUCAUGAUGAUGAAUCAAUGCAUAAAUUGUUCUCACAUUUGGUUCAACUACAUCCCAAAAUGUGUGAGCCUCAGAGAAACAUUUAUCAGUGGAAACCUGCAGCUAUUAAGAAAGUUG